rnacentral:rRNA from 1 species
AGUGGCGGACGGGUGAGUAACGCGUGAGAAUCUGCCUUGGGGUCGGGGACAACCACUGGAAACGGUGGCUAAUACCGGAUAAGCCGAUUGGUGAAAGAUUUAUUGCCCGAAGAGGAGCUCGCGUCUGAUUAGCUAGUUGGUGAGGUAAGAGCUCACCAAGGCAGCGAUCAGUAGCUGGUCUGAGAGGACGAUCAGCCACACUGGGACUGAGACACGGCCCAGACUCCUACGGGAGGCAGCAGUGGGGAAUUUUCCGCAAUGGGCGAAAGCCUGACGGAGCAAGACCGCGUGAGGGAGGAAGGCUCUUGGGUUGUAAACCUCUUUUCUCAGGGAAGAAGCUCUGACGGUACCUGAGGAAUCAGCCUCGGCUAACUCCGUGCCAGCAGCCGCGGUAAUACGGAGGAGGCAAGCGUUAUCCGGAAUUAUUGGGCGUAAAGCGUCCGCAGGUGGCGAUUCAAGUCUGCUGUCAAAGCACGGGGCUUAACUCCGUAAAGGCAGUGGAAACUGAAUAGCUAGAGUGCCGUAGGGGUAGAGGGAAUNCCCGGUGUAGCGGUGAAAUGCGUAGAGAUCGGGAAGAACAUCGGUGGCGAAAGCGCUCUACUGGACGGCAACUGACACUCAGGGACGAAAGCUAGGGGAGCGAAUGGGAUUAGAUACCCC